GACGAACGCUGGCGGCGUGCCUAAUACAUGCAAGUAGAACGCUGAGGGAGGAGCUUGCUUCUCUGGAUGAGUUGCGAACGGGUGAGUAACGCGUAGGUAACCUGCCUGGUAGCGGGGGAUAACUAUUGGAAACGAUAGCUAAUACCGCAUAACAGUAGAUAUCGCAUGAUAUCUACUUGAAAGGUGCAAUUGCAUCACUACCAGAUGGACCUGCGUUGUAUUAGCUAGUUGGUGAGGUAACGGCUCACCAAGGCGACGAUACAUAGCCGACCUGAGAGGGUGAUCGGCCACACUGGGACUGAGACACGGCCCAGACUCCUACGGGAGGCAGCAGUAGGGAAUCUUCGGCAAUGGACGGAAGUCUGACCGAGCAACGCCGCGUGAGUGAAGAAGGUUUUCGGAUCGUAAAGCUCUGUUGUAAGAGAAGAACGAGUGUGAGAGUGGAAAGUUCACACUGUGACGGUAUCUUACCAGAAAGGGACGGCUAACUACGUG
rnacentral:rRNA from 1 species